rnacentral:misc_RNA from 1 species
GAUGAAGAACGUAGCGAAAUGCGAUAAGUAAUGUGAAUUGCAGAAUUCAGUGAAUCAUCGAGUCUUUGAACGCACAUUGCGCCCCCUGGUAUUCCGGGGGGCAUGCCUGUCCGAGCGUCAUUGCUGCCCUCAAGCACGGCUUGUGUGUUGGGCCUCCGUCCUCCUCCCGGGGGACGGGCCCGAAAGGCAGCGGCGGCACCGCGUCCGGUCCUCGAGCGUAUGGGGCUUCGUCACCCGCUCUUGUAGGCCGGCCGGCGCUUGCCGACACAUCAAUCUUUUUUCCAGGUUGACCUCGGAUCAGGUAGGGAUACCCGCUGAACUUAAGCAUAUCAAUAAGCGGAGGA